rnacentral:misc_RNA from 1 species
GAAAUGCGAUAAGUAAUGUGAAUUGCAGAAUUCCGUGAAUCAUCGAAUCUUUGAACGCAUAUUGCGCCCCCUGGUAUUCCGGGGGGGCAUGCCUGUCCGAGCGUCAUUGCACACCCUCAAGCGCGGCUUGUGUGUUGGGUCUUCGCGUCCCCGUUCAGGGGGACGGGCCCGAAAAGCAGUGGCGGCGUCGCGGUGAUCCGAUCAGCCAGAGCGUAUGGGGACUCCGUCACACGCUCGCGGCGCGGACCGACGCUGGCCUGGUCACUAAAUUCUUCCACGGUUGACCUCGGAUCAGGUAGGGAUACCCGCUGAACUUAAGC